UGAAAAGCCCAAGAAUGGUGAAUGGUGAAC
rnacentral:piRNA from 1 species